rnacentral:tRNA from 1 species
GAGGGUAUAGCUGUGUGGUAGAAUGUGUGCUUUGCAUGCAUGAGGUCCUGGGUUCAAUCCCAGUACCUUCA